rnacentral:tRNA from 1 species
GCCCGGUCGCGGUGGUUCCGCACUCCUAAAGCGGGUGUCGCAGGUUCGAAUCCUGCCGGGGGCACCA